AUUGAACGCUGGCGGCAGGCCUAACACAUGCAAGUCGAGCGGAGCGGCGGACGGGUGAGUAAUGCCUGGGAAUCUGCAUGGUAGUGGGGGAUAACGUACGGAAACGGGCGCUAAUAAUGCAUACUAUCAGAUGAGCCUAGGUCGGAUUAGCUAGGUGGGGGGGUAAAGGCCUACCAAGGCGACGAUCCGUAACUGGUCUGAUAGGAGGAUCAGUCAAUCUGGAAAUGAGACACUGUCCAGAUUCCUACGGUAGGCAGCAGUUGGGAAUAUUGGACAAUGGGCGAAAGCCUGAUCCAGCCAUGCCGCGUGUGUGAAGAAGGUCUUCGGAUUGUAAAGCACUUUAAGUUGUGAGGCGUUACCAAUAGAAUAAGCCCCGGCUAACUUCGUGCCAGCAGCCGCGGUAAUUC
rnacentral:rRNA from 1 species